CCUACGGGUGGCAGCAGUGGGGAAUAUUGCACAAUGGGGGAAACCCUGAUGCAGCGACGCCGCGUGAGUGAAGAAGUAUUUCGGUACGUAAAGCUCUAUCAGCAGGGAAGAAAAUGACGGUACCUGACUAAGAAGCCCCGGCUAACUACGUGCCAGCAGCCGCGGUAAUACGUAGGUGGCAAGCGUUAUCCGGGUUUACUGGGUGUAAAGGGAGCGUAGACGGCAGCGCAAGUCUGGAGUGAAAGGCCAUGGCUUAACCAGGGAACUGCUUUGGAAACUGUGCGGCUAGAGUGCAGGAGAGGUAAGCGGAAUUCCUAGUGUAGCGGUGAAAUGCGUAGAUAUUAGGAGGAACACCAGUGGCGAAGGCGGCUUACUGGACUGUAACUGACGUUGAGGCUCGAAAGCGUGGGGAGCAAACAGGAUUAGAUACCCUUGUAGUC
rnacentral:rRNA from 1 species